GGCAGGGUUCACCCAGCCUAAGUUCUCUGUUCAUCUGCACACCAGUUACUCCCGUGGGUUAACAACAUGAUACAUGUACUUCUCAUCCAACUGGCCACGCUCACCAUUUGGGUAGCAGCAUUGUCUGACAGCCAACAAGCUCAUCAAGUUCCACGUGAUCUUUUAACACAACCCGGAGGUUCUGUUCAGCUCAACUGCAGUCAUAGUAUAACCAGCUAUGACACAAUGUUGUGGUACCAACAACUGGAAGGAGAUCCAGCAUUACAACUUAUUGGAUAUGUGUAUUAUUCGUCCCCAACGAUGGAAAUGUCCGGAAAAAACUUCAGUGUGACGGGUGAUGGGAGGAAUCAUGCGUUCCUCCAUCUAAAUGAACUCAAACCGGCUGACUCUGCUGUGUACUUCUGUGCUGCUAGUUAUGCACAGUGCAUCUCUUUGCUCCUCCCCACUACAAAAACUACAGUAUUGCUUUAUCCUGAAUGUCAGUCAAGUGGCUAUUUCAUAGCUUUUAAAGGGUUUACUCUAGCCUUCUUGAAGACAAACCCAGAACAGAGAACGAGAGUUUGCAAAACUGUUCAGGUGGCAUAUCAGCAGAGGGCGCACAUUCACAGCAUGGUUCUGUAA